rnacentral:rRNA from 1 species
AUAUCAAUAAGCGGAGGAAAAGAAACUAACAAGGAUUCCCCUAGUAACGGCGAGUGAAGCGGGAAUAGCUCAAAUUUGAAAUCUACCUAUGGGUCGAAUUGUAGUUUAUAGGAAUAUUUUCGGGGGGCUUGAAAGCCAAAGUCCUUUGGGAUGAGGCAACACAGAGGGUGAGAUUCCCGUAUGUGGUUUUCAAGACUUCCUGUGUGAUAUAUUUCCAAAGAGUCGGGUUGUUUGGGGAUGCAGCCCAAAAUGGGAGGUAAAUACCUUCUAAAGCUAAAUAUUGGCGAGAGACCGAUAGCGCACAAGUA